rnacentral:rRNA from 1 species
UACAGGGUGCAAGCGUUAAUCGGAAUUACUGGGCGUAAAGCGUGCGUAGGUGGGCACUUAAGUCGAAUGUGAAAUCCCUGGGCUCAACCUGGGAACUGCAUCCGAUACUGGGUGUCUUGAGUAUGGUAGAGGAAAGUGGAAUUCCCGGUGUAGCGGUGAAAUGCGUAGAUAUCGGGAGGAACAUCAGUGGCGAAGGCGACUUUCUGGACUAAUACUGACACUGAGGCACGAAAGCGUGGGUAGCAAACAGG